AGAGUUUGAUCAUGGCUCAGAUUGAACGCUGGCGGCAUGCCUUACACAUGCAAGUCGAACGCGAAAGGGGGGCAACCCCCGAGUAGAGUGGCGCACGGGUGAGUAAUGCAUCGGAACGUGUCCUGUAGCGGGGGAUAACCUAGCGAAAGCUAGGCUAAUACCGCAUACGUCCUACGGGAGAAAGUGGGGGAUCGUAAGACCUCACACUAUAGGAGCGGCCGAUGCCGGAUUAGCUAGUUGGUGGGGUAAAAGCCUACCAAGGCAACGAUCCGUAGCUGGUCUGAGAGGAUGAUCAGCCACACUGGGACUGAGACACGGCCCAGACUCCUACGGGAGGCAGCAGUGGGGAAUUUUGGACAAUGGGGGAAACCCUGAUCCAGCCAUGCCGCGUGAGUGAAGAAGGCCUUCGGGUUGUAAAGCUCUUUCGGCCGGGACGAAAUCGCACGGAUAAAUAUUCCGUGUGGAUGACGGUACCGGAAGAAGAAGGACCGGCUAACUACGUGCCAGCAGCCGCGGUAAUACGUAGGGUCCGAGCGUUAAUCGGAAUUACUGGGCGUAAAGCGUGCGCAGGCGGUUUUGUAAGCCAGAUGUGAAAUCCCCGGGCUCAACCUGGGAACUGCAUUUGGGACUGCAAGGCUUGAGUACGGCAGAGGGGGGUAGAAUUCCUGGUGUAGCAGUGAAAUGCGUAGAUAUCAGGAGG
rnacentral:rRNA from 1 species